CCUACGGGGGGCUGCAGUGAGGAAUAUUGGUCAAUGGACGAGAGUCUGAACCAGCCAAGUAGCGUGAAGGAUGACUGCCCUAUGGGUUGUAAACUUCUUUUAUAUGGGAAUAAAAUGUUCCACGUGUGGGUUUUUGUAUGUACCAUAUGAAUAAGGAUCGGCUAAAUCCGUGCCAGCAGCCGCGGUAAUACGGAGGGUCCGAGCGUUAUCCGGAUUUAUUGGGUUUAAAGGGAGCGCAGGUGGGUUGUUAAGUGAGUUGUGAAAGGUUGCGGCUCAACCGUAACACUGCAGUUGAAACUGGCGGUCUUGAGUACAGUAGAGGUGGGCGGAAUUCGUGGUGUAGCGGGGAAAUGCUUAGAUAUCACGAAGAACUCCGAUUGCGAAGGCAGUUCACUGGACUGCAACUGACACUGAGGCUCGAAAGUGUGGGUAUCAAACAGGAUUAGAUACCCCAGUAGUC
rnacentral:rRNA from 1 species